rnacentral:rRNA from 1 species
GAUGAACGCUGGCGGCGUGCCUAAUACAUGCAAGUCGAGCGAACGGACGAGAAGCUUGCUUCUCUGAUGUUAGCGGCGGACGGGUGAGUAACACGUGGAUAACCUACCUAUAAGACUGGGAUAACUUCGGGAAACCGGAGCUAAUACCGGAUGAUAUUUUGAACCGCAUGGCUCAAAAGUGAAAGACGGUCUUGCUGUCACUUAUAGAUGGAUCCGCGCUGCAUUAGCUAGUUGGUAAGGUAACGGCUUACCAAGGCAACGAUGCAUAGCCGACCUGAGAGGGUGAUCGGCCACACUGGAACUGAGACACGGUCCAGACUCCUACGGGAGGCAGCAGUAGGGAAUCUUCCGCAAUGGGCGAAAGCCUGACGGAGCAACGCCGCGUGAGUGAUGAAGGUCUUCGGAUCGUAAAACUCUGUUAUUAGGGAAGAACAUAUGUGUAAGUAACUGUGCACAUCUUGACGGUACCUAAUCAGAAAGCCACGGCUAACUACGUG